rnacentral:rRNA from 1 species
UAGAGGAAGUAAAAGUCGUAACAAGGUUUCCGUAGGUGAACCUGCGGAAGGAUCAUUAACGAGUUAUUGAACAGGUUGUAGCUGGCCUUCAGGGGCAUGUGCACGCCUGGCUCAUCCACUCUUCAACCUCUGUGCACUUAUUGUAGGUCGGUGGAAGAGUAAGUCUAAGUGAUUAGACUUGCUUGGAAGCCUUCCUAUGUUUUUACAAACGCUUCAGUUUAAGAAUGUAUCUCUGCGUAUAACGCAUUUAUAUACAACUUUCAGCAACGGAUCUCUUGGCUCUCGCAUCGAUGAAGAACGCAGCGAAAUGCGAUAAGUAAUGUGAAUUGCAGAAUUCAGUGAAUCAUCGAAUCUUUGAACGCACCUUGCGCUCCCUGGUAUUCCGGGGAGCAUGCCUGUUUGAGUGUCAUGGUAUUCUCAACCUUCAUAACUUUUGUUAUCGAAGGCUUGGAUUUGGAGGUUGUGCUGGCUUCUCGUCAAGUCGGCUCCUCUUAAAAGCAUUAGCGUGAGUGUAACGGAUCGCUUCGGUGUGAUAAUUAUCUGCGCCGUGGUCGUGAAGUAACAUAAGCUUGCGCUUCUAACCGUCCUUCAGCUGGACAAAUUUACUCUGACAUCUGACCUCAAAUCAGGUAGGACUACCCGCUGAACUUAAGCAUAUCAAUAAGCGGAGGAAAAGAAACUAACAAGGAUUCCCCUAGUAACUGCGAGUGAAGCGGGAAAAGCUCAAAUUUAAAAUCUGAUAGUCUUUGGCUGUCCGAGUUGUAAUCUGGAGAAGCGUCUUCCGCGCUGGACCGUGUAC